AAUUCAACUACAUCUGGAUUUUUGGAUGCAUUUUCUACAUUACUGAGUUUCAGUCACUUUGCAGUAAAAGAAGAUGAUUCUCUAAAACCUCAACGUCCGAGGUUCAACCCAUCCAACCUGACGUGUUGUCUACUCCAGUCCAGUGUGAAACAGACCCCUCUGGA